UUCCAGGUCACAGACUGAACCAAUGGUUGAGCAACAGGUGGGAAGGUGUGGCUAAUCCAGGGAGCUCAGGUGCAAGUAGUGCACAUGAGUGACCAGAAGGGGUGGAGCCUCGCAGUAUCUCUUUGGAUGAAAACUACGCUCCUCUUGAGCUGGUACUGGUUGUUGGAAGGGAGAGUAAUUGCAUCAGAAAUAAAAGAUGAAGACCACCUUGACAACAGCAGCAACACUUAUUAUCAAAUGAAGAUGACAACUGUGAGUCAUUCACCAUUUCCUGGCUUACCAACACUUCUACUCAUAGGACAAUAGUUUAUUCAUUCCUAAGCAGGGAAGGGAGAACAGGGAAAGAGACCAGACACAGAUCCUUACCCUCUCUUGUUUGAAAUCUGCAAAAGCACCAUCUGCGUAUUUUUGCUUGCUUAGAAGCUGCUU